UAAAGAUCAUCUAGGUCCAGCCCCCUCACCAUGGGCAGGAACGCCUUUCACUAGACCAGUUUACUCAAUUUUCCCUCCAGCCUAGCCUUAAAAACUUGCAGGGAUGAGGCAUCCACAACUUCUCAGGACAACCUGUUCCAGUGCCUUUACCUUAUGGAGAGCUACUCCAGCCCUCUGAUCAUUUUCAUGGUCCUCCUCCAAACUCGUUCCAACAGGUCAAGGUCUUUCUUGUGUUGGGCACAUCAGAGCUGGAUGCAGCACUCAGGCAAAGACAACAAAGCCACACAUCCAAGGUUACAAGAGAUCUUAACCUGAAAGGCUACAGAUGUUUCAUAGAAGGGACAAAUCAAAGAGAG